GUGGGGAAUUUUGGACAAUGGGCGCAAGCCUGAUCCAGCAAUGCCGCGUGCAGGAAGAAGGCCUUCGGGUUGUAAACUGCUUUUGUACGGAACGAAACGGUCCGGGUUAAUACCCUGGGCUAAUGACGGUACCGUAAGAAUAAGCACCGGCUAACUACGUGCCAGCAGCCGCGGUAAUACGUAGGGUGCAAGCGUUAAUCGGAAUUACUGGGCGUAAAGCGUGCGUAGGCGGUUUUGUAAGACAGGCGUGAAAUCCCCGGGCUCAACCGGGGAAUUGCGCUUGUGACUGCAAGGCUGGAGUGCGGCAGAGGGGGAUGGAAUUCCGCGUGUAGCAGUGAAAUGCGUAGAUAUGCGGAGGAACACCGAUGGCGAAGGCAAUCCCCUGGGCCUGCACUGACGCUCAUGCACGAAAGCGUGGGGAGCAAACAGGAUUAGAAACCCGGGUAGUCC
rnacentral:rRNA from 1 species